rnacentral:rRNA from 1 species
AGUGAACGCUGGCGGUAGGCCUAACACAUGCAAGUCGAACGGCAGCACAGUAAGAGCUUGCUCUUACGGGUGGCGAGUGGCGGACGGGUGAGGAAUACAUCGGAAUCUACUUUUUCGUGGGGGAUAACGUAGGGAAACUUACGCUAAUACCGCAUACGACCUACGGGGGAAAGCAGGGGAUCUUCGGACCUUGCGCGAUCGAAUGAGCCGAUGUCGGAUUAGCUAGUUGGCGGGGUAAAGGCCCACCAAGGCGACGAUCCGUAGCUGGUCUGAGAGGAUGGUCAGCCACACUGGAACUGAGACGCGGUCCAGACUCCUACGGGAGGCAGCAGUGGGGAAUAUUGGACAAUGGGCGCAAGCCUGAUCCAGCCAUACCGCGUGGGUGAAGAAGGCCUUCGGGUUGUAAAGCCCUUUUGUUGGGAAAGAAAAGCAGCAGGUUAAUACCCCGCUGUUCUGACGGUACCCAAAGAAUAAGCACCGGCUAACUUCGUG